GAGCCUGAGAAACGGCUACCACAUCCAAGGAUGGCAGCAGGCGCGCAAAUUACCCAAUCCCGACACGGGGAGGUAGUGACAAUAAAUAACAAUACGGGGUUCUUUAGGAUCUCGUAAUUGGAAUGAGUACAAUUUAAAUCUCUUAACGAGGAACAAUUGGAGGGCAAGUCUGGUGCCAGCAGCCGCGGUAAUUCCAGCUCCAAUAGCGUAUAUUAAAGUUGUUGCAGUUAAAAAGCUCGUAGUUGAAUUUCGGGGUUAGUAGGUUGGUCAUGCCUCUGGUAUGUACUGGUCUCACUGAUUCCUCCUUCCUUAUGAACCGUAAUGCCAUUAAUUUGGUGUUGCGGGGAAUUUGGAUUGUUACUUUGAAAAAAUUAGAGUGUUUAAAGCAAGCUAACGCUUGAAUACAUUAGCAUGGAAUAAUGAAAUAGGACGUUCGAUCUUAUUUUGUUGGUUUCUAGGAUUGACGUAAUGAUUAAUAGGGAUAGUUGGGGGCGUUAGUAUUCAAUUGUCAGAGGUGAAAUUCUUGGAUUUAUUGAAGACUAACUACUGCGAAAGCAUUUGCCAAGGAUGUUUUCAUUAAUCAAGAACGAAAGUUAGGGGAUCGAAGACGAUCAGAUACCGUCGUAGUCUUAACCAUAAACUAUGCCGACUAGGGAUCGGAUGAUGUUAAUUUUUUAAUGACUCAUUCGGCGCCUUACGGGAAACCA
rnacentral:rRNA from 1 species